GGAGUGAACAUCACACAGUGCCGAAAAAUUAAUUUCAUUCUUAAUUCAUCAGUUUUUUUAUUCGAAUAAAUCAUUUUAUCAGACAAUAUUAGAUAAAUUUUAAUAGACACGUUAAUUGAUAUAAUAAUACAAGUACAUUUGUACAUCUUAUUAAUCAUUUUAUUUAAAAUUUAUUAAAUAUUGCGAUAAUCAAGAUUAAUGUUAGUUACAUCAAAAUCGAAUCUAAAAUCUUACAUUUAAGUACAAUCAAUCGACACGAUCGAUAGCAUCGAAGGAGUCGUUAAUUAACAAUAAGACAACUGGCGCCUAACCGUUGUUCCGGGUCCUUCAAAAGAAAUUCGAUUGGAAGUCACGAGGGUUGAGAGAUUUCCUGUUCCGUGAUUCACGACUUUGACACGUGACGGAUGUUUCCUGGCGCCCACGAUAUAUUCAAGAUAUCCAGGAGCCCAUUCAAUACUGUCGGGACACGUGUCUUAAUUAUGACCGUCUGGACAUUCGUAUUCAGUCGAGCCUGUAUCGGUUCGUUCAUUAAUAAAUUGUUUAUUGCA